UAUAGGUGAAACCCCUAUAUAUCUCU
rnacentral:tRNA from 1 species